UGCCUCGUCAUCAUGGCCAAUUUGCCAGGUAAUUUGUUUAUAUUUUAUGCUUUAAUUUAUUGUUGAUCCCAUGUUUAUAUAUGUUCAUAAACAAAUUUGUUUGUUUCUUAUCUAUUAAUAUGAUUUUUUUUUAUAUAGCUAUCUAGAAAAUUCGAUAGUAGGUAUUAUUAUAGUUCGAAUCCGAUUAUCAACGGUUGUUUUAGGUUAAAAUUGUCACAUAUGGUUAGCAUAGUCUGAUUUACACGUCUCUCGUAUGGUUUACAAGCUAUUAUACGAGAUUGUAGGUUUAUCCAGUGCAUCUAUAUAGUUGACUGCAUGUCACUUCUCUAAAAAAAAAAGUUGAAAAUUAAAACAUUCAUAAUUUUGAAAUCCAAUUUUUUAUGCGAUAAUAUAAAUAAUGAUUUUUUACCAUUUGAAAAUGAAUAAAUAUUAUAUAUAAUGAAUAUCUAUUUUAACAUAUAAUAUAUAUAUAUAUAUAUUUUUUUUUUUUGGUUUUAGGUAUGAAUUCACAACCAGGAUGCACAAAGCCACUGCAGAUGCCAAAUUGUGAAUCCAGUAAAUGCUCAGAUUUAUGUCUGGAAAAAUUUGGUCCUAACAUAUAUUAUUUUGUUUGUGGCUGUUCUGCUUCUGUUAAAGAUACUUGUCUUUGUAAAAUGCCCUGCAAAUAAUAAUAUAUAUAUCGGU
rnacentral:lncRNA from 1 species